GACGUAGGGUGCGAGCGUUGUCCGGAUUUAUUGGGCGUAAAGAGCUCGUAGGCGGCUUGUUGCGUCGGCUGUGAAAACCCGCAGCUCAACUGUGGGCUUGCAGCCGAUACGGGCAGGCUUGAGUUCGGUAGGGGAGACUGGAAUUCCUGGUGUAGCGGUGAAAUGCGCAGAUAUCAGGAAGAACACCCGUGGCUAAGGCGGUUCUCUAGUACGGUACUGACGCUGAGACGCGAAAGCGUGGGGAGCGAACAGG
rnacentral:rRNA from 1 species